CACAUGGUCAUCACUGGCUGACUCAGUGUUUUCAUCCCUCCAGCUGGUUUAUGCUCCGCUCCUGGGCCAGCAGCUCAUGCUGCUUGAAGUGCUGAGGACGAUUGAAGCGAGACGGCCAUGAGCAAGAAGAUGGCCCGAGACACCCCCGCUGCCCGGGCCUGAGCCUGUCCCCACAGACCUCAUACUCUCGCCUCACGCCAGCGGGGUCCGGCAUGAGGUCACUCCAAUCCUGCUGCAGGAUGCGGCCUUGUUGAUCGGCCAGGGCGCUCAGCUGCUUCGUGCAGCCUUGCAGGAUGUUGUGCUCGGCCACCUGCUGUUCCAGCUCUGCCAUCCCAGGCCCAUAGUGGCCCUCACGGACCAGAUUCUGCAGAAGAGCCAGGUCCUCAGCCCUACCAGGAAGGUCUGCGUCCUACAGCCCAGAAAGCCCUCCCACCUCCAUGACCCCCCACAGCCACCUGUGUCCUCCCCACAGCAGGAGAGGCAGAGUGGACAGGCCGGGUAAGCAGCCUGGACGAAUGGCAGCUGUUCCCCAUAGUGGGGACAUGACUGUUCUCAUGCGGCCAUCAGGACUAAGGCUCUGAGUCCCAUUGGUUCCCAGGAUUCAGGCCUCACACUGUACUCGUAGCCCAAGCCUCAGUGACUGCUGCCUGGAUGUGUGCAGCCAGUCCCAGGAACUGCCCCUGCCCACGGUCCCUAGUUGCCAUCACAAUGCAUCAAAGACAACUGCUCAGUGUCCUGUGACUUGGUAUGUCCACUGUCCACUCUACCCCCAAUCCCCCCAGCGGGAGCCUUUUGC
rnacentral:lncRNA from 1 species